GCAUAUCAAUAAGCGGAGGAAAAGAAACUAACAAGGAUUCCCCUAGUAACUGCGAGUGAAGCGGGAAAAGCUCAAAUUUAAAAUCUGGCGGUCUUCGGCCGUCCGAGUUGUAGUCUGGAGAAGUGCUUUCCGCGCUGGACCGUGUAUAAGUCUCUUGGAACAGAGCGUCAUAGAGGGUGAGAAUCCCGUCUUUGACACGGACUACCAGUGCUUUGUGAUGCGCUCUCAAAGAGUCGAGUUGUUUGGGAAUGCAGCUCAAAAUGGGUGGUGAAUUCCAUCUAAAGCUAAAUAUUGGCGAGAGACCGAUAGCGAACAAGUACCGUGAGGGAAAGAUGAAAAGCACUUUGGAAAGAGAGUUAAACAGUACGUGAAAUUGCUGAAAGGGAAACGCUUGAAGUCAGUCGCGUCGUCCGGAACUCAGCCUUGCUUCCGCUUGGUGCACUUUCCGGAUGACGGGUCAGCAUCGAUUUUGACCGUCGGAAAAGGGCUGGAGUAAUGUGGCACCUCCGGGUGUGUUAUAGACUCUGGUCGCAUACGGCGGUUGGGAUCGAGGAACGCAGCGCGCCGCAAGGCAGGGGUUCGCCCACUUUCGCGCUUAGGAUGCUGGCAUAAUGGCUUUAAACGACCCGUCUUGAAACACGGACCAAGGAGUCUAACAUACCUGCGAGUGUUUGGGUGGAAAACCCGAGCGCGUAAUGAAAGUGAAAGUUGAGACCUCUGUCGUGGAGGGCAUCGACGCCCGGACCUGACGUUCUCUGAAGGAUCCGCGGUAGAGCAUGUAUGUUGGGACCCGAAAGAUGGUGAACUAUGCCUGAAUAGGGUGAAGCCAGAGGAAACUCUGGUGGAGGCUCGUAGCGAUUCUGACGUGCAAAUCGAUCGUCAAAUUUGGGUAUAGGGGCGAAAGACUAAUCGAAC
rnacentral:rRNA from 1 species